GGCCAGACUCCUACGGGAGGCAGCAGUGGGGAAUAUUGCACAAUGGGGGAAACCCUGAUGCAGCGACGCCGCGUAAGUGAAGAAGUAAUUCGUUAUGUAAAGCUCUAUCAGCAGGGAAGAAAAUGACGGUACCUGAGUAAGAAGCCCCGGCUAACUACGUGCCAGCAGCCGCGGUAAUACGUAGGGGGCAAGCGUUAUCCGGAUUUACUGGGUGUAAAGGGGGCGCAGACGGCCAUGGCAAGCCCGGUGUGAAAGGCAGGGGCAUAACCCCUGGACUGCACUGGGAACUGUCAGGCUGGAGUGCCGGAGGGGUAAGCGGAAUUCCUGGUGUAGCGGUGAAAUGCGUAGAUAUCGGGAGGAACACCGGCGGCGAAGGCGGCUUACUGGACGGCAACUGACGUUGAGGCCCGAAAGCGUGGGGAGCGAACAGGAUUAGAUACCCGCGUA
rnacentral:rRNA from 1 species